UAAACUAACAAUUCUGAGAAACAUUCUGUUUCUGGGGGAACAUCCAGCUUCCGGCAAUCUCUUCGCAAACCAAUCAUCUGUGCUCAAGUGCUGGAUUCAGGCUCUGUUUUAGAAGAACCCAAAGGAGGACAGAAGGUGACAGUUGAGCUGGGAGGAGUCGGUUGAGGGGAGGAGUCGGUUGAGGUUGUGUGUGGGUGCAGGGGGCAAGGUGCCUUCCACAUGGACAGCACUACAGCUGUAAAGUUACCCAGGACCAGGAGUGGUCCUUGGAGGCCUGUAAGAUGAUAGGAUGUGUGGGGAGCAGUGGGAACGUCGGAGUAUGCUGGGCUGAGGGAUCUGGGAAGGUAGAGAGGUCAUAGAUGUCUGUUGGGGUCAAUCAAGAAAAGCCUUAUUAGCAUGAGAAGGAUUCAGGACUCUCUCGUCAGUGAGGUCAGGUAAUAUGCUCGGCCUGGAUGCCAUGUUCAGAGGUGAGAGACAGGAGACAGGGAAUUAGGAGGAUUUUAACAGUCCAGUUGAGAGAGGAUGAAUGAGGGGGCUUCCAGUGUGAAGGGGGAAGACGUGAGAGUGUGGAGAAAUGUGGAAGCGGCAGGCCCGGUGGACUCAGUGGUGACCUGGAGGACUGAAGGAGACCGAAGCCAAAGUUGUCACCCCGUGUUUCAGCUUGGCAGGCCAGGUGGAUGACAAUGCCUCCAUGCGUAGAAACCUAGUCCCCAGUGUGAUUAUAUCAAGAAGCAGCGCCUUUGGGAGGUGAAUAGGUCACGAGGGUAGAGCCCUCAUGAAUGGGACUAGUAGCCUUCCAGAAGAGCCCCCGGAUGGCUCCCUUGCCCCAUUCAUCUGUGGGAAAUGCAGCCAGUGGAUGGCCUCUAGGAACCAGAAAUUGGGCUCUCACCGACCCUGAAUCUGCUGGUGCCUUGAUCUCGGUCUUCCCCACCUCCCAAAACGUGAGAAAUCGGUGUCGUUCAACUCACACCAUCUAUGUUAUUUUUGUUACAGCAGCCCAAAUGGACUCAGACACCUCCUUGAUGGGGAGGGAUGGGCUGUCAGGUAAAUUUAGCAAAGUUGUUGAGCGCAGGGCAUGGAGGGAGUUGAAUGCUGUAUGAAGGCGUUUGGCUCUGUAAACCUACCUUUCCAUGUGGGGGUUCUUACAGAAGAGAAAGAAGGUCAGAGAAUAUGACUUAGAAAUUUAAAACACUAAUCUAUUUGCUAUGGAGAGAGAGAGAGAGAGUGAAAGAGAGGUAGAAAGAGAGAGGGAGAGAGAGAAAGGGAGAAAGAGAAAGAAAGUGAAGGAGAGGGGGUGGGGGAGAGAGAGAGAGAGAGGAUGAAAGAGAGGGAGAGAGACGGAAGCUGAAUAGGGAAGGAGAAAGUCCCAAGCGAGGAUACGAUUUUAUAUGAAGUCUAGCUUCAGUCCGAUCCAUAAAGUCAUUCUGCCUGAACCCUUUGAAUCCUAUAUUAAUCAGUCAUUGGCCAUCUGGAUGGGGAAGGCUGGGGGCAAGCUCCAGUGAGAGUAAAUUUUCUGUGUCCACUUGGUGAAUGUUUUUGGGUGAGGUUAACGUCUAAAUGCGUGAGUUUUGAGUAAAGCAGAUGGCUCUUCAUAAUGUGGGUGGGCCUUGCACAAUCAGUCGAAGGCUUGAAUACAACAAAGAAAUCCAGCCUCCCAAACAAGAGGGAAUCCUCCAGCACAUUCCCCGUGGACUUCAUCUGCACCAUCGUCUCUCCUGGGUCUCCGCCUGCCGGCCUUCGUACUGAAACUGCACCACCAGCUUUCCUAGCUUCCAGGCUGCUGGCACACUGCAGAGUUAGACUUGCUGGCCUCCAUGAUCGUGUGGACCGAUUCCUUACGCGAAAUUUCUACAUACACGUUCUCUGUGUUCUCCUUCCCUGGAGAAUAUUGAUUAACCCACCCCCUGCAGGUCUCUGUCUCAGAGGAAGCGGCUCCCGUCUGCCAAAGGCAAGUUUUCUGCAAAGGUCACAGGUGUAAGCAGCAGCUGGUGGCUGGAUGCCCCCCCCCCCCUGGGCAAGGGGGCCCUGCUGGAGCACCUGUUUGGACAGCCCUUUUAUGGAGUGCUUGGACGAUGAUGUAGGAAUAAGUAGCAAAACAAAUUUACUUAGCUGCGAGGUAAGUUUAUGGCCUUUCACAAAUCUCUCCUCCAUACUCUGCUCUUGCGGACCUCCUUUGAGUAACAUUUAUUAGCGGGGCAGCACAGGAUGGCCCUGUAAGCUUCUCGCGAUCUGAUGUCAACGAGAGAUAGAUGUCCCAAGGCCAACUCUUGGCUUAUCUUCUGAGCCAUGUGACUGACUUUCUGAGUUUGGCUUCCGCGUCUGUCUGACAAAUAUGGCGGAUAACCUCUGUGUUCUGAAGAUUAAACCGAAAGCUGUGGUGAAAAGCAAAUGAAUGUUACCUGUGACUACUGCACUCCUCUGUGCCAGGCUGUGAGUUAAGCAACUAAAAAAGGUUACCACCUUAAAUUGCCACGAGAGUUCCAUAACCGAGAUAGUAUUCAUCUUAUUUCCUAACGUGGAAACUGAGGUGCAGAAAAAUGAAGACGUGUGCCCAAGGUCACCGGGCCAGGAAGUGAAGGAACUGACAUGGUUCCCAGCAUGUAUCGGGAAGUAGAGCCCUGACAUAGUGUUUAGCUUCCGAGACAUAGGAUUCUAGAAGCGUGACGUGAUCGUCACUCUGGAAGCAGGAGAUCUUGCUCCAAGGGACCUGAGGCUAUAGGCCACUGUUGUGACGCUCAUGGCCGUUGGGAACGUUGCAGCAAGGGAGGUGAGGGGUGGGCAUGUCAAGGACUCCAGCCAUCUUGAGUCCGACCCAUCCAGUGGGCCUUGUGUAUUCCCACUGCCUCCCGAGCACAGUGGCUUGGGGAGGCGAGGAAAUGGAAUCGAGAGGAAAACGAUACUUGUAAACUCGAUUUUGGUAGGUCAUUUUGUUAUGUUAUCAUUAAGAGGGGAAUCUUUGGCUUGAAAAAGUCAUAAACUGAAAACCUGCUUCAUCUCUGAGUUUUCACAGAUUUCAAGGAUUUGGUCCAAAUCCAGAGCCUCGAGACAAUAAAAAGGCUGCUGAAUGGUUACUGAGGAGAACGGCUGAACUCUCAGUGAGCUACUUCGAAGGAGAAACCGAAUCGUUUGUAAUCCAUGAGACUGAAGAAGAGCCAUCUGUGGGUUUCAACCUAAACAGUAGUUGGACUCAGGCCAACCAAAGAUGCCUUUUUGAUGCAGUUUCAAAUGCCUCCAGCAGAUCAAACUGAAAAGUCAUUGAAGAAACAACUUUGUAACAUGGAGGGCAAAGAAUCACCCAAAGAAACAAUUUAGAGGCAAAUGGAGAAUCUUUUCCACAAGUAAUUAAUACCUUUAAAAGCAUGUUUGAAAUAAUUAGUGGAUGAAAUGAUCAGAGCGGAAAACGCAUUUUUAUGAAAGAACAAAUUUACAGGUGAAUGUGACCAAUGAAAAUAUUUGAAGUUAAACAACGAAAAUCAAGUGAUUGAUGCAGCUCUUUUUUGGUGAACAGUUUGGAGUUCUGCUGACUGGUUAAAAGGAAUGGCCAUCUACCCCAACUAGUGAGGGAGCGUGUUUUAAUCCACUAAUGUUGCAUAUUGAUCUUGGAAGAUUUGCAAUGUGAUACGUGCGAUAGAUAUUUUUGCAGCUGGUACCAAGUGUAUCCAGUACUAAUAUUUAUUUUAUUAUUCAUUACAUUCUUGUACUUUCCAAUUUUUAGGCAUAAAAUUUGAUAUUUACCCUUGAAAUACUGAAAAAAAAAAUCAAUUUUCCUACCCUUGGAAGUCUAGGAGAACGCUUUCUCUUUUGGUUGCAGUGUGCAUUGGUUUCCUAUUGCUGUUGUAACAAAUUACAGCAAAUAAACCAUGUAAAUUGAUUAUCUUAACAUUCAAAUUCUCACUGAGUUAAAAUCAAGAUGUUGGCAGGACUGUGUCCAUUCUGGAGGCCCUAGGAGAUUGUUUCCUCGUCUUUUCCAGCUUCUAGAGACUAUCCACAGCCCGUGGCUCAUGUCGUCAAAGCCAGCCUUGUUACGUCUCUGUGACCCUUCUUCCAUGGUUCCAUCUCCCUCUGCCUCUCACCUGAGCAGGCAAAGUCUCUGGUUAGGGACUCGUGUGCUGAGGUUGGGCCCAUCCAGAUAAUCCAGGCCAACCCUCCACCUCAAAACCCUAAAUGUCUGCAAAGUCAUUUUUGCAAGGUAAAGUUACAAGUUCACAGGUUCUAAGGAUUUGGAUGCAAACAUCUUUGGGGGAUGAAUAUUCUGCCUAUAUGUGCAGAAAGGUGAGGAAAGUCGACAGCAACAGCAGUUGUUGCCUUUUAUUUUAUUUGGUGCCUCUUUUGUGCCCUCUACAAAAGUGACCACGUAUGGAUACAUAGUCAGCACCCAACAAUUAUUUGUUGGGUAACUGAAUGAAAGAUUGAUCGAUUCUCAUCUGUUUUCAUCAGACGGCAUUAUUUAGAGCAUGUAGCUGAAGUGGGAGGGCAUUUCAGGACUGGUCACCACCAGAGACAUGGGAAGGUUUUACAGGGGUUUACCGACAGGUGUAAGCAAAUCCCGGGCUUGGUAUGACGUUUUGUCAGAGGCGUGGGGGUAUAAUCAAACUAAGUGUCAAGUGUUCAGGUAAAGUCACAGUUCACACUCAGAGGUCUGAGUGCAAGCCUUGUACACCUGUUCCCUGAAGGAAACAGUGAGCAGAAGGUACAUGAUUCUGAGUAUUCCUUCAAUCUGUAAAAUACAGGGAAGGGACCAAACAAAGCUCUGUGCCCACAGGGCACCUAGAGUAAUCUGGCGUCAUGGAUGAUUCUUCUUGGCCACGGUGAACAGGGUUGUGAAGCUUCUUGUAGCUCCUGAGGAUUCGUGGUCAUGAACCUUGUGUUUGAGAGUAAGCCAAGCACACACCUGCCUUUGUUCCCACUUUAGAGAUGGAAACCUGAAGGGAAAAGUGUUGGGUUUUGGACCAUCAGACCUGCAUUGAGAUCUUGCAUCACUGGGUGACAUAAUGUAUUUAUAAAAUAUGAUAAUAUCUACCUUAUGGAUCAGGGGAGGGAUUAAAGAUAUCUUUAUAAGGCUUUAGUGCAGGAACAAUAAAGCAGCCACUCCAUAAAUAACAGGUUAUCACUAUUAUUGUUCCUAUAAAACUUCUCACCCA